UAUGCGUUCAACUAUGAUCGUGGAUUGGACAAUGGUAAGGAGUCUACCUCCCAAAGAGAUCCUGAAGACAACAACUCACCAAGGAAUUCGAAGGCAGGAACGUCAGCUGUAGCGGGUAAGAAGAGUAAAAAACGUUUUUUCAUCGCUCAAGUUGCUCCACAACAGCCAAUUAUGAACUCUGAU